AUACGGAGGGUCCAAGCGUUAACCGGAUUCAUUGGGUUUAAAGGGUCCGCAGGCGGGAAAAUAAGUCAGUGGUGAAAGCCUACAGCUCAACUGUAGAACUGCCAUUGAUACUGUUUUUCUUGAGUAUAGAUGAAGUGGGCGGAAUAUAUCAUGUAGCGGUGAAAUGCAUAGAUAUGAUAUAGAACACCGAUUGCGAAGGCAGCUCACUAAACUAUUACUGACGCUCAGGGACGAAAGCGUGGGGAGCGAACAGGAUUAGAAACCCUAGUAGUCC
rnacentral:rRNA from 1 species